CCAAUAGCGUAUAUUAAAGUUGUUGCAGUUAAAAAGCUCGUAGUUGAAUUUCGGGAUUGACGUGAUGGUCAUGCCUUAAGGGGUAUGAACUGUUACUGUUGAUUUCUCACCUUCUGGAGAAACUUGAUGUCCUUUAUUGGGUGUCUUGCGGAUCCAGGACCUUUACCUUGAAAAAAUUAGAGUGUUUAAAGCAGGCAUUUUUGCUCGAAUACAUUAGCAUGGAAUAAUAGAAUAGGACGGCAUGGUUCUAUUUUGUUGGUUUCUAGGAUCACCGUAAUGAUUAAUAGGGAUAGUUGGGGGCAUUAGUAUUCAAUUGUCAGAGGUGAAAUUCUUGGAUUUAUUGAAGACUAACUACUGCGAAAGCAUUUGCCAAGGAUGUUUUCAUUAAUCAAGAACGAAAGUUAGGGGAUCGAAGACGAUCAGAUACCGUCGUAGUCUUAACCAUAAACUAUGCCGACUAGGAAUCAGACGAUGUUAAUUUUUUAAUGACUCGUUGGCACCUUACG
rnacentral:misc_RNA from 1 species